GACAGAGGCCCCAAGCGUUAGGCGGAAUCACUGGGCUUAAAGCGUGUGUAGGCGGAUCGUUAAGUGUCUUGUGAAAUCCCACGGCUCACCCGUGGAACUGCUGGGCAUACUGGCGAUCUUGGGCCAACUAGGGGCAGUCGGAACAAGCGGUGGAGCGGUGAAAUGCGUAGAUAUCGCUUGGAACGCCGAAGGUGAAGACAGACUGCUGGGGUUGCGCCGACGCUGAGACACGAAAGCCAGGGGAGCAAACGGG
rnacentral:rRNA from 1 species